AUUAUUUUGCCUUACCUUACAAAAAAAAAAAUUAAAUAGUAGGUAAUGGAUUGCCAAAAAUAGCAACAGUCUUCUCUGUUUACAUAUGAUAGUUAUUUGUAAAACGUGGCCUUAAGUUGUUCCUAGCCGUGAAUAUUUUAAAAACGGUUCGGAAUGUAAACUUAACCAAUUGAAUAUCGAAAUAAGAUCACAAUAUUUGACUAUCGGAGAAACAGAUUCAUUGCUGUGCUCGUCCGUCUAAGUUGUUCACUACAAAGUGCACUACGAUGUCACAUCGAAAUACAUGUGCAAGCGACAAAUUAAUUCCGGUCUAUUGAUGAAGCAGGAAAUGAAUAAUGAAUAAGAAAAGAAAAUAUCGAACUAUUACAAUGAUAAAAUAAACAUUACUUUACUACGAGGGUAGUAUAUCCACGACAUAUACAUAUAUUGUCAUGAUUUCGACCAAAAACAAUAAUCAAAUUCAUUUUUAAGACUGUCUUCGACCUAUGGUUGACAAAUAGUGUGUAGAUGGAUAAUAGCAUUCGGCGAUGUUAAUCUCGGUCAACCUUAUGUGUAUACAUAACUUCAAUAACAUAGGUACAGUCACCUCCAAUAAAGUGUAAGUACUUUCGCACUUUCGCUUUCAACUUUCGCACGAACAGCGGCGGUUGUAUAGACGAGAUAAAGCGACGAAUGGCAAUCACUAGGUCAGCGAUGGAGAAAUUGCAAAGAAUGCAAAGAAAAAAGAACUCGGUUUGUACGAUCGCUUGUACUCUCCAUAUUCCUUUAUGCGUCGAAAACGUGGAUCCUACGAGAGGGAGAAAAAGAAGAUAGACGCGCUCGAGAUGUGGUGCUGGAGAAGAAUGCUGAAGAUACCUUGGACCACCAAUGUACUAAAAAGGCAGCGACUAGGUGGCGUCUGGUAAAGUAGGUCAUUGAUACUUGAUGACCAUGACCAAUCUGACAAAACUGUAACGACGAAGAAGAAGAACUUUCGCACUUGUCUACAGAGUAUAGCUGACCAUUAAAUUGGUUAAAUCAUUGAUGUCUUGCAAAUAUAAAAGAACCACGGCUGACCAUUAAAUUGGUUAGAUCAUUGAAGUGUUACAGGUAUAAAAGCACCACGGCUGACCAUUAAAUUGGUUAGUUCAUUGAAGUGUUACAGGUAUAAAAGCACCACGGCUGACCAUUAAAUUGGUUGGAUGAUUUGUGUCUUACAAGUAUGAAAACAUGUCUAAAGACAUAAAAGCACUACGGCUGACCAUUAAAUUGGUUAGAUGAUUCAUGUCUUGCAAACAUGAAAGCUGCAUAGCGGACCAUUAAAUUGGUUAGAUCAGUCAUGUCUUACAGACGUGAAAGCAGCACGGCUGACCAUUAAAUUGGUUAGAUCAUCUAAUCGUUAAAUCGAUAAGUUCAUUUACAGCCUGAAAAGUUGUCAAGUACAUAAAUUAAGAAGAUUGAAACCCUGAUCGAUAAAUUGAUAUUACGAGUGGUAAGAAGUUUGAAGCUAAAAUUUGUGUGAAGCAAACUGUUCACUAAAUUAAGUUACAGAUUAAUAAACGCAGCACUCGGCGAGCAAGUCUAAUUGUUGUGCCGAAAGUGAGUGGAAAGAGAUAUAUGUAUAACAAACGAAGGAGUACAGCUUCAUAAGUUGUUACUGUCAUCUUUAUAAAUCAUAAUUAUUGGACCAAGUCAUGGAGGAAUUCAUUGUAAAAGUCGCUGUUAAGGCAACUCCUCGCUGAGGACACACUAGUCGCAGUCGGGGUAUGUUGAAGCUGGAUUUUGUUAUCAAUAACCCGCAAAAAAUUGGUGAGUAAACUUGAAUUAAGUUUUAACGGCUUUAAACUCAAUUUAGGGAGUAGAAAUACCGAUUUAUGAAAUACUGAACCAAAAUCGCACUAUGGACUUAUUAAAACGACUUUAGCACACCGCCUAAAAGUGUGUUUAAAAUCAGAGAGAUCUUGUUGACAUAUAAUUUUACUUUUAAAUGGCAUUCCAUUUGGAUUAUUAUGAGCUGAAAAAAAACGAUUGUGGAAUAAAAUGCUAUCGCUUAGUUCUACUAACUUAACUAUUUUCAUACAUAAUAUCUACUGUUUGAUUGUAAAUAACAUUAGAGAAUAAACGGCAAUGACAAGUUCAUUUGCUGACCUGUGAAAAGAAGGGACAAAGAGUUUGUCUCUUUAUGUUUAUUUAUGUUACGCUUAUAUUGAAAAAGACUUUUACUAUGUUCAGAGUAGUCAUUAGCAAUUCAUUGUUACAUAUAGGUUGAACAUCUGAUAAAUUGAAAACUUAUAGUGGCAUUUAAAUAUUGUACAUCAAGUUAAAUAUAAAGUUCAACAUAAUUGAAUACCGUCAGUGACUCUGUGUUGUGGGUUGAAAGAUCUCAAAUAAGCUGGGAAAUAAAUUUGGUAAUUAAAUAUAAAAAAGGUAUAAGUCUUGACUUUUGAAACCUUCAUUCAAUAGAAAAUAUAACAUCUUUGAAGGAGAAGAAACAUUAAAUUGUUAACAUAGUAAGUUAGUCAUUUUCAGGUUAAGUAUUAGAAAAAGAAAAUUAUCAUUGACUAUUCCAUAAUAUAGAACAUUCUUAUUGAUGCGUGGGUGGCUUCAUCUGUCUGUCUGUCUAUCUGACCUUCUUUCAAGCGGGAACUGCUGGGCCAAUUUGGAUGAGGUUUGGUACAUUGAUGGACGGGAGCCUGGGACCAUUGUCAUGGACUGAUUUUGAUGUAUUGGAAUAUGUGAAUUUUGUGCGAGUAUUUAGUGGGUUUAAUAUGUUUCAGUAUAAAACUUAAUAAUAUUAAGUGAUUAGCCUAAGUGAUUGAAAUGCUAUACAAGUCAGUAUUUCGUGCGAGCGAAGUCGCGGGCACAGUUACAUCAGUUACAGCUUUUGGUGUUCCAACCAACUAGUACUGUGUCUACAGUGCAUAGCAUUCAUAGUACAGAGUAAAAUUUUAUUAUUACUACUAGCGUAAAUUAUCACGUCUAGGAUACAUUCAAACUGUUAAGUACUUUUAAGUACUGUUAAUUAUUAAACAUUACUUUUUAGCAAAAUAUUUGGUUUCGACAUUAAUAAUUUACACAAAGAUAACAAAGUAAGCGUCAAUUAAAAUCCUGCUUCCCAUACGGUAGAGACAGGUAUUGAUGGCGAUAUUGAAGUUCGGAAUAUUUUAACGUGACAAAUGCCAAGACGAAAAUAAGUUUAUUUAAAAUGAAUUGAGGGACACUGGCGCGUUCUAAAUAACAAAUGGAAGGAAGUAGAGCAUAUAGAAGGAAGAAAUAAUGGAAAC